UGUGGAAGCGUAGUAAUACGUUAAGCUAACCGAUACUAAUUGACCGUGAGGCUUGAUCCUAUAAUUUUAAAGCUUUUGUA
rnacentral:rRNA from 1 species